rnacentral:rRNA from 1 species
GACGAACGCUGGCGGCGUGCCUAACACAUGCAAGUCGAACGGGACUGAUUGGAAAGCGGCUUCGGCCAAUGGAAGAUCAGUUUAGUGGCGAACGGGUGAGUAACACGUGAGGAACCUGCCUUUCAGUGGGGGACAACAGUUGGAAACGACUGCUAAUACCGCAUAAUGUUAUUUGGGGGCAUCCCCGAGUAACCAAAGAUUUAUUGCUGAAAGAUGGUCUCGCGUCUGAUUAGCUAGUUGGUGAGGUAACGGCUCACCAAGGCGACGAUCAGUAGCCGGUCUGAGAGGAUGAACGGCCACAUUGGGACUGAGAUACGGCCCAGACUCCUACGGGAGGCAGCAGUGGGGAAUAUUGGGCAAUGGGCGAAAGCCUGACCCAGCAACGCCGCGUGAAGGAAGAAGGGCCUCGGGUUGGUAAACUUACUUUUACCUAGGACGAAGAACGUGACGGUACC